ensembl:snoRNA
UGGAAAUGAUGAUUCAUUAUCUGAAAUUAUGUGAUGAAAUAUUCUGAAUACCUCUAGACUGUCAAGUUCUGAUCUGG